AGUGAACGCUGGCGGUAGGCCUAACACAUGCAAGUCGAACGGCAGCACAGUAAGAGCUUGCUCUUACGGGUGGCGAGUGGCGGACGGGUGAGGAAUACAUCGGAAUCUACUUUUUCGUGGGGGAUAACGUAGGGAAACUUACGCUAAUACCGCAUACGCCCUACGGUUGAAAGCAGGGGAUCUUCGGACCUUGCGCGAUUGAAUGAGCCGCUGUCGGAUUAGCUAGUUGGCGGGGUAAAGGCCCACCAAGGCGACGAUCCGUAGCUGGUCUGAGAGGAUGAUCGGCCACAUUGGAACUGAGACACGGUCCAGACGCCUACGGGAGGCAGCAGUGGGGAAUAUUGGACAAUGGGCGCAAGCCUGAUCCAGCCAUACCGCGUGGGUGAAGAAGGCCUUCGGGUUGUAAAGCCCUUUUGUUGGGAAAGAAAAGCAGCAGGUUAAUACCCCGCUGUUCUGACGGUACCCAAAGAAUAAGCACCGGCUAACUUCGUG
rnacentral:rRNA from 1 species